GUUUUCAGUCAGCCAUCUUAGCGAAAGUGACGGUGUAUUGUAGCUGCUAUGUUUAACGUUCGAAUAUGGGGAUUCUCAAGUGCUUGUUACCAGCUGGUUUGUAACUUGAACUUAACGUAUUUGGGGGCCCAAGAGUGGUUUUAGCCAGUCAGUGUUAGUGAAGCGAUAUUUUGAAAAACCUAAGUGUCAGGCAUAACUACGAAAUGGUAAAUAAACAACGAUAUACAAAUAGAACUGUGAUUUUAGUUGGGGGAAAUCAGAAAGCUACGAAGUACGGGCACAAGGACCACGGUAGGAAAGGCAACUGAGAAGUGAGGUCGAGAAAUAAGAGAAAUAAAGUUAAAUAGAUAUGACAAAACUGACUCGUUUCUCGUAACACUGCAAGUUCUCGAGGGUUAUUGUGAUGACAGACACGGGAGUGAACUGAAGAGUUGCUGCACCAACAUGGCAAGAACAGAGGAAGGAAGAAGCCAACAUGGCAAAA